UCUGGAUGUGAUGUGAUGUUCUUUCUGCGCUCAGCAAUCGUUCGAGUCUUCCGUUCUGUGCCAGAUCAGGUGUGAAGUGAUGAUGCAGAGUAACAAAAAGGCAGCACUCACCUGUCCCCUGUGUGACACAAGCAGGGAGUCCGAGCCCGCCCCCAGGAACAGAGGAGCAGCCCCAAAGGAGACGAGGCUGGGGGCUGGAGACCCUCCUGCCUGCGGGUAGGCCUGGGCCCUGUAGGGCGAAGGUUCCAUUGGGGAGGCUUGAAAGGGGGCGUGUGUCCGGCUCAGUAAGCAAGGGGUUCAGCAAGCGCUCCGGGGAGAUUGGCGAUGGCCCUCGCCCUCCUCCACGCCCCCCACGGGGCUACCCAAACACGACUUGUUGAGCUCUAGGAAACUCUUCCAGCGGGGGAAGGCCUUUCUCCCUCCCCAUGGGGCGCAAAGAGGACGACCUGCAGCAGCUUCGGCCGAUGGAGCAGCAGAGGCGCAGUUUGCUUGGGACCAUGGCACCUAUGUCUGUCUGUCUGUCAAGGGCAUGCGCCCGCGGAACGCUUCUCUGCUCAAGCCCGACUGAGCAGAAGGAAGGUGCGCAAGAACACCAUUUCAGCGGAGCCUGUGCAGGAGAACUUCCCAGUGGAUGGUUCCCCUUUGUGUUGAAUAAGGCAUAGGUCAAAAACAGUCUCUGCACUUUGAUUGCUGAGGAAUGAAGGAAAAGAAAGAAAGAAAGAAAGAAAGAAAGAAAGAAAGAAAGAAAGAAAGAAAGAAAGAAACCUGCGGGUUUUUUGUUUCUGUUUCCCCCCCAUAGGGGCUCCCAAGUCUAAGAAGAUGUCCCAAAGGAUCAGUCUAUUAUUCCCGUUGGAAAACCGAACACCUCUUAGCCAAUAUCUCCGACCUUCCCGUGGGCUUCUCUCUCUCCUCCGCCUCCCAUCAAAUCUAGCCAGUAAAUGUCAGUUAAUUAAAUCUUUCCAGUAAAUUGGGUUUCCCUCCCUCUCUUAACAACACCAUUUCAUCUUUCUUCCCCACAUCCUACAUUGUAGCAAAUUGAACUAUAGGGCACUGUAAACCACACAAAAACAUUUUUCUCUUUGGAUCAUUCUCCUGUAUUAUUUCUGCACCAACUUGGAAUAUCAUUUUGUUUUAUUUUUUAAAAAGAUAUUGAUAUUGUUCGCUGAUGUAACUGUUCCACAGAAAUACUACAGGAGUAUUGAUAUAAUUCAGGGAGGAAAAGAUCAAAGGAGAAAAGAAAAUUAAAACAGCCUGAUCCCCAACACACUUUCGCCAACAUCCUGCGCUGUAAGCAUGUUUAUAGUUUGAUCCUGUGUGAACAUUUCCUUGGAAUAAAGUUCUGUCGAUA